rnacentral:rRNA from 1 species
UACGGAGGGUGCAAGCGUUGUUCGGAAUCAUUGGGCGUAAAGCGCGUGUAGGCGGCUAUUUAAGUCUGAUGUGAAAGCCCGGGGCUUAACCCCGGAAGUGCAUUGGAUACUGGGUAGCUAGAGGGCGAGAGAGGAGAAUGGAAUUCCUGGUGUAGGGGUGAAAUCCGUAGAUAUCAGGAGGAACAUCAGAGGCGAAGGCGGUUCUCUGGCUCGUUUCUGACGCUGAGACGCGAAAGCGUGGGGAGCAAACGGG